rnacentral:rRNA from 1 species
CGCGUGGGAGACACACAGCGGGUGCUAACGUCCGUUGUGAAAAGGGAAACAACCCAGACCGUCAGCUAAGGUCCCGAAAUCCUGGUUAAGUGGGAAACGAUGUGGGAAGGCUCAGACAGCUAGGAGGUUGGCUUAGAAGCAGCCAUCCUUUAAAGAAAGCGUAAUAGCUCACUAGUCGAGUCGGCCUGCGCGGAAGAUGUAACGGGGCUAAACCAGGUACCGAAGCUACGGGUGCAUUCUUCGGAAUGCGCGGUAGAGGAGCGUCGUGUACGCCAAUGAAGGUAGAUUGAGAAGUCUGCUGGAGGUAUCACGAGUGCGAAUGCUGACAUGAGUAACGAUAAAGGGUGUGAAAAACACCCUCGCCGGAAGACCAAGGGUUUCUGUUCGACGCUAAUCGGAGCAGAGUGAGUCGGCCCCUAAGGCGAGGCCGAAAGGCGUAGUCGAUGGGAAACGGGUCAAUAUUCCCGUACCGGACAUGAUUGCGAUGGGGGGACGGAGAAGGCUAGGUGAGCCAGGCGUUGGUAGCCCUGGUGAAAGUCAGUAGGCUGAGAUCUCAGGUAAAUCCGGGAUCUUAAGGCCGAGAGACGAGACGAAGACACCCCGGUGUUGAAGUCACUGAUGCCACGCUUCCAAGAAAAGCCUCUAAGCAACAGAUUAUGUGCGACCGUACCCCAAACCGACACAGGUGGUCAGGGUGAGAAUCCCCAGGCGCUUGAGAGAACUCGGGUGAAGGAACUAGGCAAAAUGGUGCCGUAACUUCGGGAGAAGGCACGCCGCUGUUACGUGAAGCCCCUCGCGGGCGGAGCGGAGAGCGGUCGAAGAUACCAGGUGGCUGCAACUGUUUAUUAAAAACACAGCACUCUGCUAACGCGCAAGCGGACGUAUAGGGUGUGACGCCUGCCCGGUGCCGGAAGGUUAAAUGAUGGUGUUAGCCGCAAGGCGAAGCACUUGAUUGAAGCCCCGGUAAACGGCGGCCGUAACUAUAACGGUCCUAAGGUAGCGAAAUUCCUUGUCGGGUAAGUUCCGACCUGCACGAAUGGCGUAAUGAUGGCCACGCUGUCUCCACCCGAGACUCAGUGAAAUUGAAAUCGCCGUGAAGAUGCGGUGUACCCGCGGCUAGACGGAAAGACCCCGUGAACCUUUACUAUAGCUUCACACUGGACGCUGAUGUUGCCUGUGUAGGAUAGCUGGGAGGCUUAGAACCCGUGACGCCAGUUGCGGUGGAGCCAGCCUUGAAAUACCAGCCUGGCAUCAUUGGCGUUCUCACUUAGGUCCGUGAUCCGGAUCGAGGACAGUGUGUGGUGGGUAGUUUGACUGGGGCGGUCUCCUCCCAAAGUGUAACGGAGGAGCACGAAGGUACCCUCAGCACGGUCGGACAUCGUGCAAUGAGUGCAAGAGCAUAAGGGUGCUUAACUGCGAGACCGACACGUCGAGCAGGUGCGAAAGCAGGUUCUAGUGAUCCGGUGGUUCUGUAUGGAAGGGCCAUCGCUCAACGGAUAAAAGGUACUCCGGGGAUAACAGGCUGAUACCGCCCAAGAGUUCACAUCGACGGCGGUGUUUGGCACCUCGAUGUCGGCUCAUCACAUCCUGGGGCUGAAGUCGGUCCCAAGGGUAUGGCUGUUCGCCAUUUAAAGUGGUACGCGAGCUGGGUUUAGAACGUCGUGAGACAGUUCGGUCCCUAUCUGCCGUGGGCGUAGGAUGUUUGAGAAGGGCUGCUCCUAGUACGAGAGGACCGGAGUGGACGCACCUCUGGUGUUCCGGUUGUCACGCCAGUGGCAUUGCCGGGUAGCUAAGUGCGGACGGGAUAACCGCUGAAAGCAUCUAAGCGGGAAGCCCCCUUCAAGAUGAGACAUCCCUGAGGCCAUGAGCCUCCUAAAGGGCCCAGCAAGACCAGCUGGUUGAUAGGUCGGAUGUGGACGCGCUGCAAGGCGUUGAGCUAACCGAUACUAAUGGCCCGUGAGGCUUGACCCU